rnacentral:rRNA from 1 species
UACGAAGGGGGCUAGCGUUGCUCGGAAUCACUGGGCGUAAAGCGCACGUAGGCGGUUUGUACAGUCAGACGUGAAAUUCCUGGGCUCAACCUGGGGGCUGCGUUUGAUACGUAUGGACUUGAGUUCGGAAGAGGGUCGUGGAAUUCCCAGUGUAGAGGUGAAAUUCGUAGAUAUUGGGAAGAACACCGGUGGCGAAGGCGGCGACCUGGUCCGAUACUGACGCUGAGGCGCGAAAGCGUGGGGAGCAAACAGG